rnacentral:rRNA from 1 species
UACGAAGGGGGCUAGCGUUGUUCGGAAUCACUGGGCGUAAAGGGCGCGUAGGCGGCUUUGUAAGUCGGGGGUGAAAGCCUGUGGCUCAACCAUAGAAUUGCCUUCGAUACUGCAUGGCUUGAGACCGGAAGAGGUAAGUGGAACUGCGAGUGUAGAGGUGAAAUUCGUAGAUAUUCGCAAGAACACCAGUGGCGAAGGCGGCUUACUGGUCCGGUUCUGACGCUGAGGCGCGAAAGCGUGGGGAGCAAACAGG